UACGAAGGGGGCUAGCGUUGCUCGGAAUCACUGGGCGUAAAGCGCACGUAGGCGGACAGUUUAGUCAGAGGUGAAAGCCCAGGGCUCAACCUUGGAAUUGCCUUUGAUACUGGCUGUCUUGAGUUCGGGAGAGGUGAGUGGAAUGCCGAGUGUAGAGGUGAAAUUCGUAGAUAUUCGGCGGAACACCAGUGGCGAAGGCGACUCACUGGCCCGAUACUGACGCUGAGGCGCGAAAGCGUGGGGGAGCAAACAGG
rnacentral:rRNA from 1 species